UACGUAGGGACCAAGCGUUGUUCGGAUUUACUGGGCGUAAAGGGCGCGUAGGCGGCAUGACAAGUCACUUGUGAAAUCUCUGGGCUUAACCCAGAACGGCCAAGUGAUACUGUCGCGCUAGAGUGCGGAAGGGGCAAUCGGAAUUCUCGGUGUAGCGGUGAAAUGCGUAGAUAUCGAGAGGAACACCUGAGGUGAAGACGGGUUGCUGGGCCGACACUGACGCUGAGUGCGCGAAAGCCAGGGGGAGCAAACGGG
rnacentral:rRNA from 1 species